CNUUGGUAACGAAGCUAACGCGUGAAGUUGACCGCCUGGGGAGUACGGCCGCAAGGUUAAAACUCAAAGGAAUUGACGGGGACCCGCACAAGCGGUGGAUUAUGUGGAUCAAUUCGAUGCAACGCGAAAAACCUUACCUACCCUUGACAUGUACGGAACCCUUCAGAGAUGGAGGGGUGCCCGAAAGGGAGCCGUAACACAGGUGCUGCAUGGCUGUCGUCAGCUCGUGUCGUGAGAUGUUGGGUUAAGUCCCGCAACGAGCGCAACCCUUGUCACUAGUUGCUACAUUCAGUUGGGCACUCUAAUGAGACUGCCGGUGACAAACCGGAGGAAGGUGGGGAUGACGUCAAGUCCUCAUGGCCCUUAUGGGUAGGGCUUCACACGUAAUACAAUGGCCGGUACAGAGGGCUGCCAACCCGCGAGGGGGAGCUAAUCCCAGAAAGCCGGUCGUAGUCCGGAUUGUUCUCUGCAACUCGAGAGCAUGAAGUCGGAAUCGCUAGUAAUCGCGGAUCAGCAUGUCGCGGUGAAUACGUUCCCGGGUCUUGUACACACCGCCCGUCACACCAUGGGAGUGGGUUUCACCAGAAGUAGUUAGCCUAACC
rnacentral:rRNA from 1 species